CUCUUAUCACGAGCUGGCUGAGGGAUUUGGCCCUUUGAAGCCCAGCAACCGACCAAGAUGCCAUUGAAAAAUGGGGUGCAUGAAGCACUAGGGAUACCUCUUCUUGGCACGGUGCUAAUUCCAACAGAAGGAGACCCUUUCUGAGAGAUAAGAG
rnacentral:ncRNA from 2 species